GGCAGGCGGCGGCCGCGUUUUCUGGAGACGGUCGCUCUCGGAGGGACCCUGCAAUUGCCCGAGACCGAGAGUGGGCGCUGCCUGAAAGUUUGUCCCUGGGCGCUUCGCUGGCCUCAUCCGGUCUCGGCCUUGUUCUGGGCCUGGCGCCUUUCCCAUUGUUGGGGAAAGUGGUCUAGGAGACCAAGGCAGCGUGCUGGGUGGGAGAGAAUGAUUUGUGGCUUCUGAUUCUGACAUAUGUCGUUAAGGAGGGGAGGGAUGAGUGACCCUGUUUUACUUAUGGAGAACCUGGGGCCAGAGCUGUUUUCCCAGGGUGACACAGGCGGUGAGUAGUGGAGCUGGCAUUCCUGACCCCAAAGCUCAGCGUUUCCCAGCCACUCUCCGCAGCCAGGCCUUCACCUGCACUGCUGGGCGCAGGUGGGGAAGUGGGGAAACGGUGCUCCAUCCCCUGCAGAGGGCAGGCGUGCGGGGAGCGGUGGCUGAACUCCACAGACAGCUACUGCUCAGCUCUUCAGCUGCCGGCUUUGAAGAGUGUGAGGGGCUCUGGGCAAGAGGCCCCCACAUUACUCAAGGACCAGAUCAUCAAGAGCUUUACUUGUCCCACAAAGGAGUCUGGACCUCGUUUAAGUGCACAGGAGACCGCUGGAAGGUCCUCAGUGGCGUGCCAUGGCCCGACUUCUAUUUGAGAAGUUUUUCUCUGGCCACCCGUCUAAGGAAAGAUCAAUAAGAACAAAAUGCCUGUAACCAAACCUUGGUUCAGAUUCUCUCCUUCUCCAAGCCCCUGAGCUUUGGCCCACCCGCAGCUUGUGCCAACCCACCGCCCUCCUGAGGGUCCCUCCUGAGAACAGGCUAUCUGCAUGGUGUAUACAGAGCUCUAACUGUCCUGUUCCAUCCAAAGGGGGAAAACCAAGAAGCACUUGUGAAGUUAACAUUUCAGAGACAGAGGAUCACUAAAAGGCUGAGACCUAAUCAUAGGACUGUGAUCACUCUUCUGUCCUUUGCCAUCUUACUACGAUAUUACUGUAGGGCCUACUAACUGCAGUUCCUCUUACCCAGUACCUCAUGUCUGAUGUCAAGAAGAAAAUUACAAGUCAUACUAAAAGGCAAAACACAAAGUUUGAAGAAAAAGAGCAAGCAUCAGACCCAGACUCAGAUAUGGCAGGAGUGUUAGACUUAUCAGACCGGGAAUUUAAAACAAUUAUAACUAAUAUACUAAGGGCUCUAAUGAAUAAAGUAGACAGCAUGCAAGAACCUGUGAAGCAGAGAGAUGGAAAUCCUAAGAAAGAAUAAAAAGAAAGGCUAGAGAUGAGAAACACUGUUCUAGUGAUGAGAAAUGCCUUUGAUAGGCCCAUGAGUGUAAUGGACAUGGCUGAAGAAAGAAUCUCUACGCUUGAGGAUAUAUCAAUAGAAACUUCCAGGACAGAAAAGCAAAGAACAAAGAGACUGAAAAAGUGAAACAGACUAUUCAAGAACUGUGCGACAACUAUGAAAAAAAAUAACAUACACAUAAUGGGGAUGCAAGAAAGAGAAGAGAAACAAAGAGAAGAGAAAGAAACAGAAAAAAUAUUUAAAAUAAUAAUAGCUUGAGCAACAUAGGGAGACCCCAUCUCUACAAGAAAAUUAAAAAAUUAGGGGUGCAUGGUGCACACCUCUGGUCCCAUCUACUCGGUGGGGUGAGGUGAAAGGAUCAUGUAAGCCCGGGAGGUCAAAUCUGCAGUGAGCCAUGAUUGCACCACUGCACUCCAGCCUGGGUGACAGAGUGAGACCCUGUCUCAAAAAAUAAAUAGAUGUGGUGGCACACACCUGUAGUCCCAGGUACUUGGGAGGCUGAGGCAGGAGGAUCGCUUGAGUCUGUACAGGAGUUCUGGGCUGCAAUGCACUAUGCCGAUUGGGUGUCUGCACUAAGUUUGGCAUUAGUAUGGUGACCUCUGGGGAAAGGCGGAUAACCAGGUUGCCUAAGGAGGGGAGAACUGGCCCAGGUCAGAAACGGAGCAGGUCAAAAUUUCCUUGCUGACCACACCUGUGAAAGGCCACUGCACUCCAGCCUGACCAACACAGCGAGACCCCACCUUUUAAAUAAAUAAACAAAAAAAGAAUAAUGACAGAGAUUUUCACCAAAUUAAUAUCAGGCACCAAACCAUAGAUCCAGGAAGCUCUGUGAACACCAACCAGAAUAAAUGCCAAAAAACUCCACCCAGGUAUAGCAUAUUCAAAGUAGAAAUCAAAGAUAAAUAAAACACUACUGGAGGCCAAGGCAGGUUGAUCAGAGGUCAAGGUGGGUGUAUCACUUGAGGUCAGGAGUUUGAGCCAGCCUGGCCAACAUGGCAAAACCUCAUCACUACCAAAAACACAAAAAUUAGCUGGACAUAAAUGGUGGGCGCCUGUAAUCCCAGCUACUUGGGAGGCUGAGACAGGAGAUUCGCUUGAACCCAGGAGGUGAAGGUUGCAAGGUUGCAGUGAGCUGACAUUGCACCACUGCACUGCAGCCUGGUGACAAAGUGAGACUCUUUUCCAAACAAACAAAGAAACAAACAAACAAAAACUAUUGAAAGAAGCCAGAGGAAAAAGCCACCUUACCUAUAGGGAGCAAAGAUAAGGAUAACAUCUGUCUUCUCCUCGGAAACCAUGCAAACAAGAAGAGUGUGAAGUGAAAUAUUUAACAUCUUGAGUGAAAAAAAUACACAACCUUGAAUUCUGUACACUGUAAAAUUAUUCCUCAAAACUGAAGAAUAAAUACAGACUUUCUCAGACAAACAAAAAUUGAGGGAAUUUAUUGUUAGUACAUGUGCCUUGUAAGAAAUACUGAAAGAAGUUCUUCCAAGGGAAAGAAAAACAUACAAGUCAGAAACUUGGAUCUAUAUAAAGAAAGAGAGCACUGAAGAAGGAAUGAGUGAAGAUAAAAUAGUAACUUAUUUUUUUAUUCCAAAUUGAUCUAACAGAUAACAGUUUGUUCAAAAUAAUAAUAGCAAGAAUGUAUUCAAUUAUGUAUUCAUAUAUGUGUAUAUAUAUCUACAGAAACAUAUAUACUUAAGUACAUUUAUGUAUAAGUGAAAUGAAUGACAGUAGUGAUAUAAGAGAUAGGAGGCAGGAAUUGGGAUUAUUUUGUUAUUAUA
rnacentral:lncRNA from 10 species